rnacentral:rRNA from 1 species
UACCCGCAGCUCAAGUGGUGGUCCUUAUUAUUGGGCCUAAAGCGUCCGUAGCUGGCUUGUUAGAUGCCUGGGUAAAUCGAUGCGCUUAACGUAUCGAAUUCCGGGUAGACCGGCAAGCUCGAGACCGGGAGAGGUGUAGGCUACUCGAGGGGUAGGGGUAAAAUCCUGUAAUCCUUCGGGGAGGACCAGUGGCGAAGGCGCUACACUAGAACGGCUCUGACAGUGAGGGACGAAGCCCUGGGGCGCAAACCGG